rnacentral:rRNA from 1 species
GAUGAACGCUAGCGGCAUGCCUAAUACAUGCAAGUCGAACGAGAGGAAGGAAAGCUUGCUUUCCUGAAUCUAGUGGCGAACGGGUGAGUAACACGUAGGUAACCUGCCCAUGUGCCCGGGAUAACUUCUGGAAACGGAUGCUAAAACCGAAUAGGUAGCAGACAAGCAUUUGACUGCUAUUAAAGUGGCCUUGGCCAUGAACAUGGAUGGACCUGCGGUGCAUUAGCUAGUUGGUGAGGUAACGGCCCACCAAGGCGACGAUGCAUAGUCGGCCUGAGAGGGCGGACGGCCACAUUGGGACUAAGACACGGCCCAAACUCCUACGGGAGGCAGCAGUAGGGAAUUUUCGUCAAUGGGGGAACCCUGAACGAGCAAUGCCGCGUGAGUGAGGAAGGUCUUCGGAUCGUAAAGCUCUGUUGUAAGAGAAAAACGGCACUCAUAGGGAAUGAUGAGUGAGUGAUGGUAUCUUACCAGAAAGUCACGGCUAACUACGUGCCAGCCGCCGCCGUAACAC